UACGUAGGGUGCGAGCGUUGUCCGGAAUUAUUGGGCGUAAAGGGCUCGUAGGCGGUUUGUCGCGUCGGGAGUGAAAACCAUGGGCUUAACUCAUGGCUUGCUUCCGAUACGGGCAGACUAGAGGCAUGCAGGGGAGAACGGAAUUCCUGGUGUAGCGGUGAAAUGCGCAGAUAUCAGGAGGAACACCGGUGGCGAAGGCGGUUCUCUGGGCCGAUACUGACACUGAGGAGCGAAAGCGUGGGGAGCGAACAGG
rnacentral:rRNA from 1 species